GGUUAAGCGACUAAGCGUACACGGUGGAUGCCCUGGCAGUCAGAGGCGAUGAAGGACGUGCUAAUCUGCGAAAAGCGUCGGUAAGGUGAUAUGAACCGUUAUAGCCGGCGAUGUCCGAAUGGGGAAACCCAGUGUGAUUCGUCACACUAUCGUUAACUGAAUACAUAGGUUAACGAGGCGAACCGGGGGAACUGAAACAUCUAAGUACCCCGAGGAAAAGAAAUCAACCGAGAUUCCCCCAGUAGCGGCGAGCGAACGGGGAGCAGCCCAGAGUCUGAAUCAGCUUGUGUGUUAGUGGAACGGUCUGGAAAGUCCGACGGUACAGGGUGAUAGUCCCGUACACCAAAAUGCACAGGUUGUGAACUCGAAGAGUAGGGCGGGACACGUGGUAUCCUGUCUGAAUAUGGGGGGACCAUCCUCCAAGGCUAAAUACUCCUGACUGACCGAUAGUGAACCAGUACCGUGAGGGAAAGGCGAAAAGAACCCCGGCGAGGGGAGUGAAAAAGAACCUGAAACCGUGUACGUACAAGCAGUGGGAGCACCUUCGGGUGUGACUGCGUACCUUUUGUAUAAUGGGUCAGCGACUUAUAUUCUGUAGCAAGGUUAACCGUAUAGGGGAGCCGCAGGGAAACCGAGUCUUAACUGGGCGUUAAGUUGCAGGGUAUAGACCCGAAACCCGGUGAUCUAGCCAUGGGCAGGUUGAAGGUUGGGUAACACUAACUGGAGGACCGAACCGACUAAUGUUGAAAAAUUAGCGGAUGACUUGUGGCUGGGGGUGAAAGGCCAAUCAAACCGGGAGAUAGCUGGUUCUCCCCGAAAGCUAUUUAGGUAGCGCCUCGUGAAUUCAUCUUCGGGGGUAGAGCACUGUUUCGGCUAGGGGGUCAUCCCGACUUACCAACCCGAUGCAAACUACGAAUACCGAAGAAUGUUAUCACGGGAGACACACGGCGGGUGCUAACGUCCGUCGUGAAGAGGGAAACAACCCAGACCGCCAGCUAAGGUCCCAAAGUCACAGUUAAGUGGGAAACGAUGUGGGAAGGCACAGACAGCCAGGAUGUUGGCUUAGAAGCAGCCAUCAUUUAAAGAAAGCGUAAUAGCUCACUGGUCGAGUCGGCCUGCGCGGAAGAUGUAACGGGGCUAAACUGUGCACCGAAGCUGCGGCAGCGACACUAUGUGUUGUUGGGUAGGGGAGCGUUCUGUAAGCCUGCGAAGGUGGCCUGUGAGGGUUGCUGGAGGUAUCAGAAGUGCGAAUGCUGACAUAAGUAACGAUAAUGCGGGUGAAAAGCCCGCACGCCGGAAGACCAAGGGUUCCUGUCCAACGUUAAUCGGGGCAGGGUGAGUCGACCCCUAAGGCGAGGCCGAAAGGCGUAGUCGAUGGGAAACAGGUUAAUAUUCCUGUACUUGGUGUUACUGCGAAGGGGGGACGGAGAAGGCUAUGUUAGCCGGGCGACGGUUGUCCCGGUUUAAGCAUGUAGGCGGAGGUUCCAGGUAAAUCCGGUACCUUUUUAACGCUGAGGUGUGAUGACGAGGCACUACGGUGCUGAAGUAACAAAUGCCCUGCUUCCAGGAAAAGCCUCUAAGCAUCAGGUAACAUUAAAUCGUACCCCAAACCGACACAGGUGGUCAGGUAGAGAAUACCAAGGCGCUUGAGAGAACUCGGGUGAAGGAACUAGGCAAAAUGGUGCCGUAACUUCGGGAGAAGGCACGCUGAUAUGUAGGUGAAGCCCCUGCGGGUGGAGCUGAAAUCAGUCGAAGAUACCAGCUGGCUGCAACUGUUUAUUAAAAACACAGCACUGUGCAAACACGAAAGUGGACGUAUACGGUGUGACGCCUGCCCGGUGCCGGAAGGUUAAUUGAUGGGGUUAUCCGUAAGGAGAAGCUCUUGAUCGAAGCCCCGGUAAACGGCGGCCGUAACUAUAACGGUCCUAAGGUAGCGAAAUUCCUUGUCGGGUAAGUUCCGACCUGCACGAAUGGCGUAAUGAUGGCCAGGCUGUCUCCACCCGAGACUCAGUGAAAUUGAACUCGCUGUGAAGAUGCAGUGUACCCGCGGCAAGACGGAAAGACCCCGUGAACCUUUACUAUAGCUUGACACUGAACAUUGAGCCUUGAUGUGUAGGAUAGGUGGGAGGCUUUGAAGCGUGGACGCCAGUCUGCGUGGAGCCAACCUUGAAAUACCACCCUUUAAUGUUUGAUGUUCUAACGUUGGCCCCUUAUCGGGGUUGCGGACAGUGUCUGGUGGGUAGUUUGACUGGGGCGGUCUCCUCCCAAAGAGUAACGGAGGAGCACGAAGGUUAGCUAAUCCUGGUCGGACAUCAGGAGGUUAGUGCAAUGGCAUAAGCUAGCUUGACUGCGAGCGUGACGGCGCGAGCAGGUGCGAAAGCAGGUCAUAGUGAUCCGGUGGUUCUGAAUGGAAGGGCCAUCGCUCAACGGAUAAAAGGUACUCCGGGGAUAACAGGCUGAUACCGCCCAAGAGUUCAUAUCGACGGCGGUGUUUGGCACCUCGAUGUCGGCUCAUCACAUCCUGGGGCUGAAGUAGGUCCCAAGGGUAUGGCUGUUCGCCAUUUAAAGUGGUACGCGAGCUGGGUUUAGAACGUCGUGAGACAGUUCGGUCCCUAUCUGCCGUGGGCGCUGGAGAAUUGAGGGGGCUGCUCCUAGUACGAGAGGACCGGAGUGGACGCAUCACUGGUGUUCGGGUUGUCAUGCCAAUGGCAUUGCCCGGUAGCUAAAUGCGGAAGAGAUAAGUGCUGAAAGCAUCUAAGCACGAAACUUGCCCCGAGAUGAGUUCUCCCUGAGACUUUAAGUCUCCUGAAGGAACGUUAAAGACGAUGACGUUGAUAGGUCGGGUGUGUAAGCGUAGCGAUACGUUGAGCUAACCGAUACUAAUGAACCGUGAGGCUUAACCUU
rnacentral:rRNA from 1 species